rnacentral:lncRNA from 1 species
UCUGAAGGCACGCUCCACCACCCCUCCUUUGAGAAAGUCUAGAGGUAGAGAGGGUCUUUUAUCUUUAAUAGACUAAGGUUUCAUGCCAACUGAAAAAAAUUAAAGAGGAAAAAAAGAGUUAGAGAGGAGAGAAAAGAAUGUGGUGCCCUUAUUUGCUUCUUUUUCUCCUUCCUUGAUUACAAAAAGCUAUGUAAAAUGGGGAUUAGAGUUUCUUAUGGCUAGAUGGAGGUAGAAAAAGGCAUAGGGAAGGAAUAAAAUCUAGGUUUUUUGAAAAGCUUUUGAUAUAGUCUCCCCCAGGCCUUCUAAAUUUUUUUCUAAAUUUUGCCUUUUUUAUUUAAGGGAGAAUAAGUGAGUAUUUAUAAAGAGAGUUAUGGAUUAAGAGCUAGGGUUUAAUAAGAGAUAAUAUGGUUUUAGAUGUAUGGGUUGUCAUGAAGUUCUAAA